AGAUUAAGUUAUUAAGGGCGCACGGUGGAUGCCUUGGCACUAGAAGCCAAUGAAGGACGUUACUAACGACGAUAUGCUUUGGGGAGCUGUAAGUAAGC
rnacentral:rRNA from 1 species